CAGAGUGAGGGGGCUUUAUUGAGGGAGAGAGGAAAACACGGAUGGGGAGAACAAUGGCACGAAUAAAAGAGUUUAAAUUUAUCAGCAGCGAUGAAUCAACUCGCGUUGUCUUGGGAGCAGCAGUGACACUUCAAUGGGAUGCUGUGUGGGAUGUGGGGAAGGAUGUGCCCCCGUGGAUGGGGAGGGGGAAGGAAAACAGAGUAAUUGAGGAAAGGGAAACGUCUCAUUAAUGCAGGACAUCCCAACCACACAGGGACACCCCAACCCUACAGGACAUCCCAACCCUACAGGGGCACCUCAACCCUGCAGGAUACCCUGAUCCUACAGGGGCAUCUCAAUCCCACAGGGACACCCCAACUCUGCUGGGACAUUCCAACACUUCAGGAACACGCCAAUCCUAUAUGGACAUUCUAACCCUGCAGGGACACCCCAAUCCUAUGUCAUUCCAACCCCAGAGGACAUCCCAAUCCUACAGCAAUAUCCCAACCCUGCAGGACAUCCCAAUCCUGUAGGACACCCCAAUCCUACAGGGACAUUCUAACCCUACAGAGACAGCUCAACCCUACAGGGACAUCCCAACCCUGCAGAAUGCCCCAACCCUACAGAGACAGCCCAACCCUACAGGGACACCCCGGCCUUGCAGGACACUCCAACCCUACAGGACAGCCCAAUCAUACAGACAUCCCAAUCCUAUAGGACACUCCAAACCUACAGCGACAGCCCAACCAUACAAGGACACCCCAAUCCCACAGGGACAUCCCAACCCUGUAGGACACCCCAAACCCCGCAUGGGGCUCAGCCCAGUGGGAGGCACAAGCAGACAAAGCAUUGCAGUGCUGAGGCGUUGCUCAGGUGGGAGGGAUGCGCUGCAGACAGGUUGUGUGUGCGCCCCAAUGGUCCUCGAUUUGAGACCCAGGUGGGAAAUUUCGCCCCACUUGGCCCUUUGAAGAAGAAAUGGGUCUCGGCUCCCUCGUCAGCAUUGCCUUGCAAAGGGGCAGGCUGCAAUCCCCAGCAGCUCUGCAGCAAGGUAAGGCUGGUGUGGAGAGGUAAUGACCUUCAUUAGGCUCAAUUGAUGCAGCUGGAAAAGAACCAGAGCCAGAAGGCGGCCUCUCCUUCCAGCCCACGCACCCCAGGUGCACCCGCGCGCCCGCCUGCUUCCUCCAGCGCCAUCAAUUUGCCCAAUAAAAGCCAUUAGUGCUCCUUCCGAGCCCCGUCCUCCGUGGGCUGUGUGACCUCGUGGGCACGGAGCUGCUGCAGGAGGUGGAGGGGACGGAAGGUCAGCGGCACCAGGGACGCAUCUGUCCCCGUUUA
rnacentral:lncRNA from 7 species